AAAGAUGGAGACAAGAACGACAGCCGGCGCCAUCGGGCGUUAGUGGUGGACGGUGGUGAUUGAUUCGGCUUUCUUCGCCGAAUCAAUCACCACCGUCAGAACAUCUUCAUCUUCGAGAAGAGCCUAGCCUUUGGCUUAAACCCUGGAUGCCGGCGAGUAUGUUGCCGUCUCCCGCGUGCCUCCCCUCCUCCAUCACCUUGGCCGGCCUUGUCUACUUCUCUGGCGCCGGCGAAUUCUUCGCCAUCAUCUCCCCUGGGACUUGGAUGGCGCUUUGAGGUUCCCAUUUAGCUCCGUUCUUGAAGAAGAAGACAAGGCGUGAUUCAUUCUACUACCGCCACUCCCACUCCGCAGGAGGCGCCGGCGCGGCGAGAUCACAAGUCCUUUGGAUCCUCAGAGCAGCAUUCAGGAUCUGACAUCGCCUAGCAUUCAGUUAAUUGAUGUGCAAGGAAGAAGGACGUUGAAGAGGAUAUCGCGCACUUUAAUUUCAUCAUUUUUUGUUGCUUUUGAAAAAUUUGGCUGUGCACGCUCAUCUGAAUGCCCAGCGAUGUCUAUGCCUUUGUGCACAUUUGGUUCAUUUAUUAUGGUUUCGAUAUCUGCCACGAAAUUAAGUACCAAAGUUACAUGCAUAUUCUCUAAAAAUUCGAUAUUCUAGUUUCAUAUCUGUGACAACAACGUUUUGCUACCUGAUCUGCUCUUCAGUCGCUGUGCUUUAUUCAUUUUAUAUGUCGGAUUGGUGACUUGUUGGAGCUUUGGCUUAUCUUUUCUUCUGGUUGGCUUCACUGAAUGACUUAGGAGACAUGCCGCUCGGUUCCAAUUCGUGGAUGAUGUAUUGUUUGAUCUACAUUAAUCUAUAUAAAAUUGAACUAUCAAAAGAUUUGCUAAUGUUAUUGGUGUAUCAACAUUAUUUUCUAGAUAUUUUUAAAUUUAUCCCAGUUACCUUCAAUCUUUUCUUAACUAAGCUUUUUCCUUCGAUGUCAUAACUAUUUGCUAUUUUGCUUUAUCUUGCUACCAACCUUCGCACAUAUCCAGUCCUUUUGUUCCAUGCUUUUUAAUGAGAAUGGUUAAAGUAUAUGCUUUUGCCAUCCGAUUAAUGUCUAGGUUCCUAUUAUCCUGCAGUUAUAGAAUGCAUUUAAUGGAUUGCUACUAGACUCCUAUGCUUUUCACAAAUAUUGGCAGAAUCUCAUGACUACCCAAACAGGCCUAUAGAAAAGACCCAAGUUUUUCCACAAGGUUGAGCAAAGCAGGAGCAGGCAGCACUGUAAGUGGUCCAACGGCAGCAGCUGCUCAGAAGCAGAAGGCCAUAUUGCAAAAGGUUGAUACUGAUGUGAAUGUCAUUGAUAAUUUUAGCUACCUCAUCAAUGGUGAGAGCGUUUGUUCCCAAACUUGUUCCUUGUUUCUCCAAAACUGGGAAUUUAAAGUAAUUUAUGUUGUUUAUACUUAGUGGACAUGUUUUAAGGUCUCACUUGUACUGAUUUACUUUUUUGGAUGAAGAUGUCUCCAGAUAGGAUAUUGUAAUUGUGUUUUUGUAGUAUGCAGAUGUCAAAAAUUAUUUCCUGCUUGCUUUGACUUAAAGCUACCAAGUAUAUGAAUUGGGUUUAAUUUAAAUCAUUGUUUUGGUUCUUUUAAUUCAUGUAGCAUCAAGUUGUACACAGGCUCUGGUAAAGUUUUAAGUUAUGAUUCUUUCGUGAAAAAUUGGAGAAGUCUUAUCCCAUCCAUUUGUGAAUUCUUAAUCAUCAUGUAGAAGGGAAAAAAAUUACUUAAUCAAAAAAGGCCUUUGUCUUUCAUGUCACCUUCAGUCCGGACUUUCGUAGGUCUCUUCUUCUUUAAUCCAAUUGAUGUGGCCCUCCUGAUACUUGUUCUAUCUGGCAGAAAUUAUUAUUCACCCGUGGGACAUGGAGUUGUUAUUUUAUCUUAUUAUCACUAGUUUGACGAAUGCUCGUUUCUAAUUGUGUUAUCUGAGCUGAGCCAGUCAAGCUAGUUGGCCUGUGCCUCCCCCCACUCCCCAGUCCAGGCAAAAAAAAAAAAAAUGGAAAGAAAAAGAAGUCAAAUAAAAACAAAGCAAUGAUCGAAGAGUCCAAAGAAGAUGGCUGUUGAACAAGCCUGGUGAUUACCAAAGAAGAAUUGAGUUUGAUGUUUGUAGAUGUCAUCUCCUCUGAUUCACAUUAUAUCUUUGUCAUACCCUGUUCUCUUUUGUUAAAGUUGGAAAUUUUGUGUGUUAAUGUCCAAGUGGCAGGUAAGCUGUUGAAUGACAGAAAAUUACUUCACAUGCUUUCUGGAAAAGCAGAAUGUUUUGUUUCUCUGCCACUUAUUCAAAAAAUAUUUUGGUUUGUUUAUAUAAUCAUCUGUUCAUCUUUAACUUUGAAAGUGAAACUGUUGAUUCUUUACAUUGAUUGAUGGAGAAAACUUGUGCUUCAUAUUUUUCCCACAAAGAUGCGUACUGUUAACCAAGAGGAAGCAUAAUGAAUGCUAGUCAUUGUACAUAUUCUAUUAUAUCAUAUUUGAAAAUCCUUGUGUUCAUAUAUAACUGGUGUGGAAAUUUUUGACAGCAUGUUGCCUUUUUCUUUUGCAGGUUUAUCAAUCGGCUGCCACUUGUUGAACUACGGCUAGGUAGAGAUCAAUCCAACCAGCCAAAGACCAAACCAAGUGGGUCUAGAAUUUUAUCUGUUCCUCUGUAUAAUUUUCUCCAUUUCCUUUUUGAAAAGGAAACCGAGGCCCUCUACCUGCAGUAGCUUCAAUUAGGGAGCUGACACCUUGUAAUUGUGUCGACACCAGGUUUAGAGUUAGCUGUAUACUCAUUUUUGAAUCAUGAAAUUGUUGCUAUCAAACGGCACAAUUGUAUAAAAACAGUUUCUCUAGUAGUUGCAGUGCUAAUGGCUUUAGCUUUAUUUC